ACAGGGGGCAAUUUGGGAUAUUGUUGUGUGUCCUAGCGACCCGUUUGGGAGGGAGGAGGAGGGAAGCAGCAGGCACAGGGCACCCGGGAGGCUGCUGCCCACUGGAGCAGGAGCUGGUUCCCCAAAGGGUGCCAGAAGAGCGCCCUGGAAACAGCGGCCCCCGAAAGAGAGGAUCCACCACAUUUUUACUAAGGCCAGGACUGGAGCCCCGGAGCAGCCCACACUUGGAUUUCAUGAGGUUUCCCCGACAUGGCCUUGUGGGGCAGGGAGCAUCCAAGAUCUACAGCUGGAAGGGACCUCAGCGACCAUCUAUCUCUUCUGGCAUUUCCAAUUUCAUAAUUGUGAUGGACGAGGAAAGCUGGGUGUCUGACGUCUGACCUCGUUCUUGAUUUUGGGAGAGCAGAUUUCAAAGAGCUCUUUGAAGGAUAAACAGAAUCCCCCGGGCUAAAUUUCUAUACAGAAAGACUGUCCAGAUGAAGGGGUGGACUCUCAAAAGUGAAAUUUUAAAAACGCAGAGAGAAACAUUUCUAUGAGGAGGAAAAUAGGAAGGUCCGUCCUUUGGCGUCGAUUUGAGUAUUUAUCAUAUGCAGAAAAGCUUGGUCGUUCUUAGCGCAGUAUUGUUCUUACUGGAGGACGAUGGCCACCGUGACUCGGGAGCUCAGCCUCCAGCUUAGGUGAAUGUAAGUCUCACAUUAGUCUUUUUAAAUCUUCUGAGCUGCAUGAGAAAUCUUCUAAGACCCUGAGCCUGGAAAAGACCAGGGACGAUGUGACUGCGGGUCUGGGGAGUUUAAUUGGGCAUCUCACCUGGGGCAGAGUGCCAGCUUAUCCUUCUGGGCCCCAUUGUCCAAAACGCAGCCACAGAGCUUGAGAAGGGCGUCCUCUCCCAAACAAAGGGAAUCUCAUCGUGGCCUUGGAGCGGCCCACCCCCUUGGGGUCUUGCCCAGGCCACGCUGACAGGAGGAUCCAGAUGUGAGCUGGGAGGAUGAGCCUCCCUGACUCCGGGCCACCAUCCAGCUGCCCCGUGACUCGGCGAAUCCUGCUGUGAACAUGAGCUUCUGGGCCGGGGGAGGACUUCUGGAGACCCGAAUCCGACGGAUCUUGUCAUUUCCCCCGUUAAUGGAGCUGAAAGAGCCGCCCAGCGCGGGCGCAGAAGGAAUCGUCAGGAAGGGUUGGGAGGGGCUGGGCGCCCAGCGAGGGAACUCGCCCCCUCCGAGCCCACAGAGACAUGGGGGGCGUCCCUGCCCGGGGUUCCUGAGAAGACCUGGGCUAACCUGGCCCAGGGUGGAAGUCACGGCUCAGCGUCACGUCAGGGAGCGGCGGGUGAGACCGCUGACCCACGAGGUCUGGGCAAAGCCCCCAAAGCGAGGCCUUGGGGGGGGGCGAGGCUGCCCACCCGGCCUUGCUGGACAGCUCCCUGAAGACACAGCCAGGGAUCCUGCCAGAGGAGGAGCCAGAUUCUGGGCUCCCGGGGCCUGUCAGGCAGGGGGGGGCCCUUUGGCUUCAGGGAGGAAGCAAAGGGACUAAUGGGCUGGGGUCUCAUGUCUCAGAGCUGGGGGGGGGGGAGGCCGAGGCAUUAAAGGUCCCCCCAACUCUACAGCUUGCCAUUGCAUGACCUUCGGAAGUGAAGUCCUCCUCAUCUGGCUACUUCCCAUGCUGCCAUGGUGGGCAGAAGGGCCAGCUUAUUCCUGUUCUUCCUCUUCUUCCUCUUCUUCCUCCUCCUCCUC